rnacentral:ncRNA from 1 species
AAGGUUCGCUUAGCCGCGAUUAAUUGGGAACGUGAGUGAGAAUCUCCGACUGUCCCGCAGCAGUGAACUCCGUUUUUACAGUCAAACCAAUACCAUUGUCCCCGCAGGGGGAUGAGAAGGGGUUUGGGAUGUGGAGUCAAGUCUGAAGACCAGCCUUAGU